UUGGCAGGGUCAUUUUUUUUCCUGAAUAGAAGUUAUCAUUCAUUUUAAUAAGCAUUAGUGGUUCUUUCAUAUAUCCUCAAUACAAGCCCUAAAAAGUUCCAGAUGCCCUGAAUCACACAACUUUUAUGGAAUGGAGGAGGAAAGCCUUUCAGAGUGUGAAAAUUCAGAAUUGAAGAAUAAAUGUGCUCUGGGUUCUCUGUCUUAGGAAUCAAUGCCCUUCAAAUGUAUGGUCUCUUUAAAGUCAACUCAGGUUUUCAAGGAGACAGAAGAUAGCCCACAGGAUCUUUCUACUCCCACUGAAAUCCUGGAAUGUUACUCUUUUGUAAGAUAGGCACAUUUUUUUUUUAACGUGACCCAAAUUAAAGUAUACUAUUGAUUGAGGGCAACAGGUGUUUAUAGAAAAAUCUUUUCACUGAUGGAGUCCCAAAAGUAUGAGGAAUACAAAAAAUCUAAGUAACUGGGUUAGGAA